AGUGAACGCUGGCGGUAGGCCUAACACAUGCAAGUCGAACGGCAGCACAGGAGAGCUUGCUCUCUGGGUGGCGAGUGGCGGACGGGUGAGGAAUACAUCGGAAUCUACUCUGUCGUGGGGGAUAACGUAGGGAAACUUACGCUAAUACCGCAUACGACCUACGGGUGAAAGCAGGGGACCUUCGGGCCUUGCGCGAUUGAAUGAGCCGAUGUCGGAUUAGCUAGUUGGCGGGGUAAAGGCCCACCAAGGCGACGAUCCGUAGCUGGUCUGAGAGGGUGAUCAGCAACACUGGAACUGAGACACGGGCCAGACUCCUACGGGAGGCAGCAGUGGGGAAUAUUGGACAAUGGGCGCAAGCCUGAUCCAGCCAUACCGCGUGGGUGAAGAAGGCCUUCGGGUUGUAAAGCCCUUUUGUUGGGAAAGAAAUCCAGCUGGCUAAUACCCGGUUGGGAUGACGGUACCCAAAGAAUAAGCACCGGCUAACUUCGUGCCAGCAGCCGCGGUAA
rnacentral:rRNA from 1 species